UCACAUAUUUUAAAAUUAAAUAAGUAUAUGUUUAGUGGAGUGAAAAACAAUUGACUAAAAUAGAGGCAGUAACACAGAGUGUGUCUGUUAGAGAAAUAAGCAAAUUUUAAUCAGAUUUUAUUUAUUUUUAUUUAUCUCUACUAAAGAUAGUGUACAAAGUAUCAAACCUAUGUUUCUGAUAUCUGUGUUAAAGCCCCAGAACUGAUAUCUUCAGGCUUGGGAUUGGGAAUAUUUUGCUGUAUUAAAUCUCCUGAUUGUUCUAAAUUUAAUAUAAAUAUAAAAUAUGGCUUUAAUUCGUGUUUGUAUAUAUUUUUUCUUUCUUUAUAUAGGAAUUAGGUACAGUGCUCCUGUCAGCUAAUUUCUAAGUUAUUAUCUGCAAAAAAAUUAGAGUUUUCACGUGCCUCCGUAGCUCCUGGAAUCACAGUUAAAGUCCCUUCUCCCCAAAAAUCUGAAAUGGCGCUCCUGCAGUUGGACCUUUUGACAUCUGGGAGAGUGUGGAAAGACAGUUUAAAUUUAACCUAAUCACAAGAUCUUCCCUUAUCUCUGUGUACCAUAUGGUAGUCAUGGACAGCAGCCAAAAGUCUGUCUUCGUCAAAUGGCUUAUUAUUUAAAAGAACAAUGUGGCAUUAAGGCAACUCAUCUUACAUUAUUUAAAACAUAUUCAAAAUGCCACUAGUACCAUGCAGAGAUCCUACAAUCAAGAGGAGUGAGGACAGUCAGAAUUCCUCUCUCUAAAGGGAGCAUGAGCCAGAGGUUGGGGCCUGACGGAUACCCCCUGAAAGAGGAGAGAGAGAAAAAACAAAAAACUUUCUACAAAGGAGGAUGAAUUUCUCAGAGAAAGGGGAAGAAUAGGAAGGAAUUGAUUAGUGUAUUUACUGCUUUGAAUUUUUAACAACAGCCUCUACCUUUUCUAACACAAAUUUGAUUUUGUCACUUGCACAUAUUUUUGCGUACAGAUGUGGAGUCCGGUUUGAAGCUCCUUGGAAAACCAAUGGCCACUAGGUUAGUGACUACUCUACACAGAAACCCUGACCCCAUUCAGGUUAAUGAAGAAAUUCCCAUUGACUUCAAUGGUGCCAGGAUUUCACCUCCUAUAUUCAAUAGAAUCCCUUCCCCUUGGUUUGGCUGUGAAAAUUUCCAAGGUAACUAGACCUGAGGAUUUAGAUGGGAGAGAUCAAACAUCCAAUACAGGUGAAAUCUCAUCUAACAUCUGAACCUGCUUUAGUUUGUAUAGCUAAACUGUCUCGCUUCCUAAAUUAAGAUAGUAGGGAGGACUGUUCCAAUUAACGCUACAGAAAUCCUUUCAGUGGUGAAUUCCCUGCACGUGAAUUAAUCACUGGGAAUUAUAAUUGCUUUCUAAUGGGACUGUAGAAAUGUAACUCUGGAAUCACAUAGCAAACAGCCUGUAAUUAUUCUUUUAAGAUGGAUAGUCCUCUUCCUGUCAUGACCUGAGAAAAAGGUAAACAUCCUUCCACCUGUACUGUUUGUAACUAACACUCUCUAACCCCCUCUUAAUGGUUAAUGAGUAUAGUACACAUAUUAAAAGAGGAGUCACUGUGUGAUAGCAGCUCUUGUACACGUCCACAUUAUCUUGAUUUUAACCUCUAGGUCCCAAUAAGUAUUUAUACUAAUUUAAUUAUUGCAGUAUCUGAGUGCAGGGCAGUUAUGUGCUAAACCAACAAAUAUGAGGCAGUCCUCCAUUUACUUUGUAGGUCUGGUGGGUCCAUCUUCUUGGCUCUACACUACUUUCAAAUUUGUGGACUCCACUAGAGACACCCGCAUAGGAGGAAUAUUCUCCAUUUUCAAUUCUUUUUUUAGAUCCAUCAGUUAACCAGUUUUUAAUCCAAUCAAUAUAGGAUACGUUGAUUUUCUAUAGUGCUAAUUUUUUAAAAUUCAGAACUUUAUGUGGGACUAAGUCAAAUGCAUUACAGAAGCCUAAGUAUGUUACGUGAACACCUUUAUCAACCAAAUUUAUGAUCUCAUCUUGUAGGAGCUGGAUUUUAUGAGAUUUAAUGU